GCCAGUCCAUGUCUGCCUCAUAGUGUAUCCUUGCCUUCCUUCAUCUAGCUUUAUUGAGAGCAGCCUCCUAGCUCAGCCACAGUCUUAUGCUUUGGGUUUCUGGGGUUGGGCUAGGCUGGGCAGAGCUUUGGAAGAAAGAGGAGGUGGAGACUCAGCCUUUGCUUGCAUCCUCUGGGAGCUUCCAGACCACCAGGGGAGGUAAGAGUCAUGAUUAGACAGACUGUAUGUGGUGACGUAUAAUCAAAUGCUAAAUUGUGUGUUAGAAACUCUGAGGUAUAGAAGUUCGGAGGAGAGGAAAAUGACUAAGGGUAGUAAUCAAGGAAAGUGUCAGGAAUGAGAUUUAGAGGCUAGGAAUAUGAAAAAAAAUUGUUCUUUUGAUUUCCAAGUUUUUUAUUCUUUGUUUUUUUUAGAAAGCUUGGAAAAUAGACAAUUACCUUUUGUUCUCAACACCUAGAGACAACCAUUGUGAAUAUCUGUAUAUUUUUCUUCUUUCUCAUUUUUUUGUUAUUGCAUAUGUAUAUAUGUGCAUAUAUAUGUUUAAAAAUAAAACUUUAAAAGUUUGGGAUCUCAAUUGUAUGUCUUCAUUUGUUACUUUAUAAUCAUUUUUCUAUAUUGUUAAAUUAU
rnacentral:lncRNA from 1 species